GAUCUGAUUGCAACCUCUGUCAUCCCAUUGAUCACAAGGGUUGAUUUGGCUGAUCUGACUGACUAGGCGGGUGUCCCCUUCCU
rnacentral:sRNA from 1 species